ACACGGCACCGUUUCAAACUCUAUACAAAGUCAAGCCUAAAAAAAAACCUAAAAUCAAUCAUUCAGCCACUUUAACAAAAUCAAAAAAAAAAAAAAACUAAACUAAACCUCUCCUUAUUCAUUCGGCUGAACCAUGAACCUUCUGCCCAGCCACCACACGUUACCGUGACCGGUGAUUGGCGGUGAGCGAAGCCCGUUCUAAACCGAUUAAAGCCACAUAUGCCAAUUUCAACCCCGAAAUCCUCACUUAGACUUCGAUUUAGAUGAAGAAGAUGAGGACUCCGAAGGCGAACUCUCAAUGUUUGUUGUAGGUACAGCUAGAGGGUGGCGCGUGUGGAGGCAAUUAUGGGGGUGAAGCGUGAAGUCACUGGUGGCUGCUUGCGGCCCGAGGGGAGACGGGGCUAGGGUUUGCUGCAAGCAUGGUUUGGGCUUAGGGUUUAUUAUUCUUUUGGGUCUGCUUGUAAAAUUGUGGGCUUAAUUUUAUUAUUGGGUAUUGGAUUUUGUAAUGGGCUAAGGGGUUAUAGACUGUUUUAUUGAUUUUUAUUAUUUUUUGGUUUUUUGGCAUUUAGUUUAUAAGUCUAAAGGCCCGGGUGAAAUGGGCCUAUUACAAAUAUAAAUUAUAAAAAAUUAAAAUUUUAUUCGGCCCUCCCUAAA